UUUACUACAUAAACAUACAAUAAGAAAGUCUUAAUAUUCGAAGUAUUCUGUGGUGUUCUAUGAUACAGCUAGUGCGUUUUAGGUGACAAUUUUGACACAUCUCCACCACCUGGAAAUGACAGAGAAAUCGUGAAAAAUAUGGGGCAUCUCUUGUAUGAACCAUGUUAUUAAUUUCGUCAUCGAUAAAACGUUGAUAAGAUUGGAGAUCCAGUGCAAUCUUUCCAAUUUAUUGAAUUGCAUCAAAAUUAAGAAGUGAUAAAACGGGCCCAUUUAAUGUAUUGGCAAGAACGCAUUUCUUUGAAUACCCGGAUCAACGACGUCCCUAUACUGUUUUUCGAAAUUGCUACAUGGUCCUAACGGGGAAUAGUCUUUUAUUACAAUAGCCAAAUUGAUAAAAAAGAAAACGAAUUGUUAAAUUUUUCUGAUGAAAUCGACGUAAAAAUCGUUUAAGAAAAUAAUUGUGAAAAAACUUUUCUAGAAUUUUCUCUGGGUUCCAUUCUACAGCAGAUUGUUUGGUUAAGGAGUCUAAUCUAACCGUUAAUUUCCAUAAUCUUUCCAUGAAAAUGGAGUUGGAUUUACAUAGCAUUUAAUUUAUAUUUUAUUCCAAAAUUUACAUCGGUACUAUGUCCAAUAGGAAUCAUCAUUAAUUGACGCCAUACUGUUAAAUUGUUUACAACUAUGUCGCCAUAUUGAAAAUAGUGUUUAUGAAGAAGCUGUCUACAUAGUUAUUAUAUUAAAGGCCAGAAAUUUUGACACUUGACACUUGUAAAAUAUAAAUGUAUAACCAGGCAAUCUAACGAAUUGUCAAAAUUAACUGAUGUCAAUUUAAAAAUGGCCACCGUGGGAUAAAUAAAUGCCUUUGUACUAAGUUUCUGUAAGUUUUGUGAAGUUAUUUUUUAGACUUUAUUAUUCCCAGUUUAAUUCCGAAAUGGUUUUUUGAAAAAUUUCUACUUAUAUUUCCUCCUGGAAACGGAUAUAUUUUAGUUUUUUUUUUGAUAAUUGUGCUUAGUGUAGGUGAGCGGUAAAUAUGAUCUGAAAAGCUGUUUUCAUCUAAUGAAGAAAAGUUAACUCCACCUGAAGCUUUAUGUUUGUCUUUGUACUAAAAAACUCCCAUAAUUUAAUAAAUACAAGUGUUCUGAAUUUGAUAAA